rnacentral:rRNA from 1 species
GAUGAACGCUGGCGGCGUGCCUAAUACAUGCCAGUCGAGCGAACAGACGAGGAGCUUGCUCCUCUGACGUUAGCGGCGGACGGGUGAGUAACACGUGGAUAACCUACCUAUAAGACUGGGAUAACUUCGGGAAACCGGAGCUAAUACCGGAUAAUAUAUUGAACCGCAUGGUUCAAUAGUGAAAGACGGUUUUGCUGUCACUUAUAGAUGGAUCCGCGCCGCAUUAGCUAGUUGGUAAGGUAACGGCUUACCAAGGCAACGAUGCGUAGCCGACCUGAGAGGGUGAUCGGCCACACUGGAACGGAGACACGGUCCAGACUCCUACGGGAGGCAGCAGUAGGGAAUCUUCCGCAAUGGGCGAAAGCCUGACGGAGCAACGCCGCGUGAAUGAUGAAGGUCUUCGGAUCGUAAAACUCUGUUAUUAGGGAAGAACAAAUGUGUAAGUAACUAUGCACGUCUUGACGGUACCUAAUCAGAAAGCCACGGCUAACUACGUG